CCUACGGGUGGCAGCAGUGAGGAAUAUUGGUCAAUGGUCGGGAGCCUGAACCAGCCAAGCCGCGUGAGGGAGGAAGGUACAGAGUAUUGUAAACCUCUUUUGUCAGGGAACAAAGACUGGGACGCGUCCCCGGCUGCGUGUAUCUGAAGAAAAAGCAUCGGCUAACUCCGUGCCAGCAGCCGCGGUAAUACGGGGGAUGCGAGCGUUAUCCGGGUUUAUUGGGUUUAAAGGGUGCGGAGGCGGUCCGUUAAGUCAGCGGUAAAAGUGCGGGGCUCAACCCCGGCGAGCCGUUGAAACUGGCAGACUGGAGUUGGAGAGAAGUAGGCGGAAUGCGCGGUGUAGCGGUGAAAUGCAUAGAUAUCGCGCAGAACUCCGAUUGCGAAGGCAGCAUGCCGGCGCCAGACUGACGCUGAGGCACGAAAGCGUGGGGAUCGAACAGGAUUAGAUACCCUUGUAGUC
rnacentral:rRNA from 1 species